rnacentral:rRNA from 1 species
UUCUAAUAGAUAUAAUUAUUAGUAAAAUCUGCUCAAUGAAUAUUAAAUAGCCGCAACUUAGUUGUGCUAAGGUAGCAUAAUCAUUUGUCUUUUAAUUAAAGACUAGAACGAAAGAUUUCACAUUUAAAUUACUAUUAAAAUAUAAUAAUUUUAAAUUAUUCUAAAUAUAAAAAAAUAUUUAUAAAUAAAAAAGACGAUAAGACCCUAUUGAACUUAACUUAAGUUAAACUGGGGUAGUUAAUUAAAAAUUAUUUUAAUUUUAAUUAAUAAAACAAUGAUCCAAUAUAUUUGAUUAUAUAAUCAAGUUACCAUAGGGAUAACAGCGUAAUAAAUUUUUAAAGAUCUUAUAUAAAAAAAAGAUUACGACCUCGAUGUUGAAUAAUAAUCCUAUUAUAAGCAAAUUUUCAAAAAGGAAGUCUGUUCGACUUUUAAUUAAUUACA